rnacentral:rRNA from 1 species
UACAGAGGGUGCGAGCGUUGUUCGGAAUUAUUGGGCGUAAAGCGCUUGUAGGCGGCCUGUCAAGUCGCGUGUGAAAUCCCCUGGCUUAACCAGGGAAGUGCGCGCGAAACUGAAGGGCUUGAGUGCCGGAGAGGGUCGCGGAAUUCCCGGUGUAGAGGUGAAAUUCGUAGAUAUCGGGAGGAACACCAGUGGCGAAGGCGGCGACCUGGACGGACACUGACGCUGAGACGCGAAAGCGUGGGGAGCAAACGGG